GGGUAUUUAUCUUCGGAUAGAGAGACCGGCGCACGGGUGCGUAACGCGUAUGCAAUCUACCUUUUACAGAGGGAUAGCCCAGAGAAAUUUGGAUUAAUACCUCAUAGUAUAUAGACUCGGCAUCGAGAUUAUAUUAAAGUCACAACGGUAAAAGAUGAGCAUGCGUCCCAUUAGCUAGUUGGUAAGGUAACGGCUUACCAAGGCUACGAUGGGUAGGGGUCCUGAGAGGGAGAUCCCCCACACUGGUACUGAGACACGGACCAGACUCCUACGGGAGGCAGCAGUGAGGAAUAUUGGACAAUGGGCGCAAGCCUGAUCCAGCCAUGCCGCGUGCAGGAUGACGGUCCUAUGGAUUGUAAACUGCUUUUAUACGAGAAGAAACACUACUUCGUGAAGUAGCUUGACGGUAUCGUAAGAAUAAGGAUCGGCUAACUCCGUGCCAGCAGCCGCGGUAAUACGGAGGAUCCAAGCGUUAUCCGGAAUCAUUGGGUUUAAAGGGUCCGUANGCGGUUUAAUAAGUCAGUGGUGAAAGCCCAUCGCUCAACGGUGGAACGGCCAUUGAUAC
rnacentral:rRNA from 1 species